rnacentral:rRNA from 1 species
UACGGAGGGUGCGAGCGUUGUCCGGAAUCAUUGGGCGUAAAGGGCGCGUAGGUGGCCUGCUAAGCGUGCGGUGAAAGCUCGGGGCUCAACCCCGAGUCGGCCGUGCGAACUGGUGGGCUUGAGCACUGUAGAGGCAGGCGGAAUUCCGGGUGUAGCGGUGGAAUGCGUAGAGAUCCGGAAGAACACCGAUGGCGAAGGCAGCUCUCUGGGACGGUACUGACGCUGAGACGCGAAAGCGUGGGGAGCGAACAGG